CCUACGGGGUGCAGCAGUGGGGAAUAUUGCACAAUGGGGGAAACCCUGAUGCAGCGACGCCGCGUGAGUGAAGAAGUAUUUCGGUACGUAAAGCUCUAUCAGCAGGGAAGAAAAUGACGGUACCUGACUAAGAAGCCCCGGCUAACUACGUGCCAGCAGCCGCGGUAAUACGUAGGGGGCAAGCGUUAUCCGGAUUUACUGGGUGUAAAGGGAGCGUAGACGGCAGCGCAAGUCUGGAGUGAAAUCCCAUGGCUUAACCAUGGAACUGCUUUGGAAACUGUGCAGCUAGAGUGCAGGAGAGGUAAGCGGAGUUCCUAGUGUAGCGGUGAAAUGCGUAGAUAUUAGGAGGAACACCAGUGGCGAAGGCGGCUUACUGGACUGUAACUGACGUUGAGGCUCGAAAGCGUGGGGAGCAAACAGGAUUAGAUACCCUAGUAGUC
rnacentral:rRNA from 1 species